CCUACGGGAGGCAGCAGUGGGGAAUCUUGCGCAAUGGGCGAAAGCCUGACGCAGCCAUGCCGCGUGAAUGAUGAAGGUCUUAGGAUUGUAAAAAUUCUUUCACCGGGGACGAUAAUGACGGUACCCGGAGAAGAAGCCCCGGCUAACUUCGUGCCAGCAGCCGCGGUAAUACGAAGGGGGCUAGCGUUGCUCGGAAUUACUGGGCGUAAAGGGAGCGUAGGCGGAUAGUUUAGUCAGAGGUGAAAGCCCAGGGCUCAACCUUGGAAUUGCCUUUGAUACUGGCUAUCUUGAGUUUGGGAGAGGUGAGUGGAACUCCGAGUGUAGAGGUGAAAUUCGUAGAUAUUCGGAAGAACACCAGUGGCGAAGGCGACUCACUGGCCCAAUACUGACGCUGAGGCUCGAAAGCGUGGGGAGCAAACAGGAUUAGAUACCCUGGUAGUCCACGCCGUAAACGAUGAGUGCUAGUUGUCGGCAUGCAUGCAUGUCGGUGACGCAGCUAACGCAUUAAGCACUCCGCCUGGGGAGUACGGUCGCAAGAUUAAAACUUAAAGGAAUUGACGG
rnacentral:rRNA from 1 species